CCUACGGGAGGCAGCAGUGGGGAAUUUUGGACAAUGGGGGAAACCCUGAUCCAGCAAUGCCGCGUGAGUGAAGAAGGCCUUCGGGUUGUAAAGCUCUUUUGUCAGGGAAGAAACGGUUUCUCCUAAUACGAGGGACUAAUGACGGUACCUGAAGAAUAAGCACCGGCUAACUACGUGCCAGCAGCCGCGGUAAUACGUAGGGUGCAAGCGUUAAUCGGAAUUACUGGGCGUAAAGCGUGCGCAGGCGGUUAUGUAAGACAGAUGUGAAAUGCCCGGGCUCAACCUGGGAACUGCAUUUGUGACUGCAUGGCUAGAGUUUGGCAGAGGGGGGUAGAAUUCCACGUGUAGCAGUGAAAUGCGUAGAUAUGUGGAGGAAUACCGAUGGCGAAGGCAGCCCCCUGGGUCAAGACUGACGCUCAUGCACGAAAGCGUGGGGAGCAAACAGGAUUAGAUACCCUGGUAGUCCACGCCCUAAACGAUGUCUACUAGUUGUCGGGUCUUAAUUGACUUGGUAACGCAGCUAACGCGUGAAGUAGACCGCCUGGGGAGUACGGUCGCAAGAUUAAAACNCAAAUGAAUUGACCGGCUGAGAGNGCGACGACGACGACGAGGGAGGAGG
rnacentral:rRNA from 1 species